AGUGAACGCUGGCGGUAGGCCUAACACAUGCAAGUCGAACGGCAGCACAGGAGAGCUUGCUCUCUAGGUGGCGAGUGGCGGACGGGUGAGGAAUACAUCGGAAUCUGCCCAGUCGUGGGGGAGAACGUAGGGAAACUUACGCUAAUACCGCAUACGACCUUCGGGGGAAAGAGGGGGAUCGCAAGACCUCUCGCGAUUGGAUGAGCCGAUGUCGGAUUAGCUAGUUAGCGGGGUAAUGGCCCACCAAGGCGACGAUCCGUAGCUGGUCUGAGAGGAUGAUCAGCCACACUGGAACUGAGACACGGUCCAGACUCCUACGGGAGGCAGCAGUGGGGAAUAUUGGACAAUGGGCGCAAGCCUGAUCCAGCCAUACCGCGUGGGUGAAGAAGGCCUUCGGGUUGUAAAGCCCUUUUGUUGGGAAAGAAAUCUUUCAGGCUAAUACCCUGGGAGGAUGACGGUACCCAAAGAAUAAGCACCGGCUAACUUCGUG
rnacentral:rRNA from 1 species